AUGAUUUUUAAUUCCAUGAAAUAAUUUAAAGAUAGAAAUACAGCCCCCAUCAAAACCACACAUUCAGUCAAGAAGAUCUGGGACUAAUGUUAGAAAUUUUGCCAUCUAUUUGGAGGAGGCUGAUGGAAAUCCAGUGGCUCUGGAAUUUUAAGGGAGAUAAUGCAGAAGGCAUGCCUGUACUGAAAAGGAAAAAAGGUAUGGAUAGUGAGCUUCUAUUGUGUGCCAGACACCACACCAGGUUCUGUGGACAUAGAAGUGGGUAAGACAUCAUACCUGCCCUCCAGAAGUUGAGCAGAUUGGUGCAUUAGGCAAAGAAGCAAACAAUUAAUUACAACACCAUGUGAUAAGCAACCCUUCCAGAUAUGUGCACAGACCUCUAAGGGACCUUGGCUGGAGCAGGAGAGGAAAAAUACUAAAAAGAAAAAGAAGAUGGGAGGAAGGCAAGGAGAAGAAAGGAGUGUUAAUAAAGCAUCACCGAGAACAAGGAGAUUAUGGUGGACAAAUACGACUUUCCCAAACCUUUGCAAUGAAUGGCAAAUCUCUGAAGUUGGUGCAACCGCUUUUCAUUUUCCUUUUUUUUUUUUUUUUUUUUUUUU